ACCUGAGCUCAGGCAAGGCUACCCGC
rnacentral:rRNA from 1 species